rfam:Larimichthys crocea isolate SSNF unplaced genomic scaffold scaffold285, whole genome shotgun sequence.
CCAAAGGCUCUUUUAAGAGCCACCCACACUCACUAAAAGCUGAGCU